GAUUACACCUUCUUCUCUGUAGUCGCGGCUG
rnacentral:ncRNA from 1 species